UACGAAGGGGGCUAGCGUUGCUCGGAAUCACUGGGCGUAAAGGGUGCGUAGGCGGGUGCUCAAGUCCGUGGUGAAAUCCUCCGGCUCAACCGGAGAACUGCCAUGGAUACUGGGUGUCUCGAGGGUGAUAGGGGUAUGCGGAACUAUCGGUGGAGCGGUGAAAUGCGUUGAUAUCGAUAGGAACUCCGGUGGCGAAGGCGGCAUACUGGAUCACAUCUGACGCUGAGGCGCGAAAGCCAGGGGAGCAAACGGG
rnacentral:rRNA from 1 species